UUCCAGUGCCUUGCAUGCCCGGCUCCUCUAGCUGCAUGCUGGCCUCGUGGCAGGCGUCCUGCUGGGGGGACUCUGGGUGGUUCUGGCUGGGGGCAGUAAGCAGCUGGAAAGGGUCCUGCCCCACCUCACACACUGGGGAGGAGCCGUGUAGGAGACCUGAGAACUGCUCCGGGACCUGCCCGUCCUGCCCCUCCACAGAGUCCUGGCUCCGGCUGCCGCUGCUCCGCCUGUGGUCUUGGAGUGGACAAAGAGAAAUAAAAAAUUAAACGUGGUCCGUGGGUAUGAAUAACAUCUGGUGGAAAUUCUCCUGUGCCACAGGCCCAGCAUCCCUGCCCUCCAAGACCGAGGGCCCUGAGAAAGAGCAGCAGGUAUCUGUGGACACUGAGGCCGGGGCACACACAGACGCUCUGCUGGGGAAGGUGGAUGUCCCACCUCUCCGAGGAUGGCUGAAGCUUAACAGAGCUGAUGCUGCGGCCUGGGGACGACAG